UUUGGUGGCGAUGGCGGAGGGGUUCCACGCGUACCCAUCCCGAACACGACCGUUAAGACCUCCAGCGCCGAUGGUACUUGGACCGAAGGGUCCUGGGAGAGUAGGAAGCUGCCAAGC
rnacentral:rRNA from 1 species